rnacentral:rRNA from 1 species
UGAGGGACGAAAGCUGGGGGAGCAAAGGGGAUUAGAUACCCCNGUAGUCCCAGCUGUAAACGAUGCGGGCUAGGUGUUGGGCGGACUUCGAGUCCGCCCAGUGCCGUAGGGAAACCAUUAAGCCCGCCGCCUGGGGAGUACGGCCGCAAGGCUGAAACUUAAAGGAAUUGGCGGGGGAGCACCACAAGGGGUGAAUGCUGCGGUUUAAUUGGAGUCAACGCCGGGAACCUUACCGGGGGCGACAGCAGGAUGACGGCCAGGCUGACGACCUUGCCAGACGCGCUGAGAGGAGGUACAUCGCCGUCGCCAGUUCGUGCCGUGAGGUGUCCGGUUAAGUUCGGCAACGAACGAGACCCCCACCCCCAGUUGCUACCGCACCCCUGCGGGGGUACGGGCACUCUGGGGGGACUGCCGGCGCUGAGCCGGAGGAAGGAGGGGGCCACGGCAGGUCAGCAUGCCCCGAAACCCCCGGGCCACACGCGGCAUGCAAUGGUGGGGACAAUGGGUUCCGACCCCGAAAGGGGGAGGCAAUCCCAUAAACCCCACCUCAGUUGGGAUUGAGGGCUGCAACUCGCCCUCACGAACAUGGAUCCCUAGUAACCGCGCGUC